CAGCAGCCGCGGGAAUACGGAGGGAGCUAGCGUUGUUCGGAAUUACUGGGCGUAAAGCGCGCGUAGGCGGUUACUCAAGUCAGAGGUGAAAGCCCGGGGCUCAACCCCGGAACUGCCUUUGAAACUAGGUGACUAGAAUCUUGGAGAGGUCAGUGGAAUUCCGAGUGUAGAGGUGAAAUUCGUAGAUAUUCGGAAGAACACCAGUGGCGAAGGCGACUGACCGGACAAGUAUUGACGCUGAGGUGCGAAAGCGUGGGGAGCAAACAGGAUUAGAUACCCCAGUAGUCCCUGUCUCUUAUAC
rnacentral:rRNA from 1 species